GGCCACGUAGCCUAACGGAUAAGGCGUCGGACUUCGGAUCCGAAGAUUGCGGGUUCGAAUCCUGCCGUGGUCG
rnacentral:tRNA from 1 species